AUUGAACGCUGGCGGCAGGCCUAACACAUGCAAGUCGAGCGGAUGAAGGGAGCUUGCUCCUGGAUUCAGCGGCGGACGGGUGAGUAAUGCCUAGGAAUCUGCCUGGUAGUGGGGGAUAACGUCCGGAAACGGGCGCUAAUACCGCAUACGUCCUGCGGGAGAAAGUGGGGGAUCUUCGGACCUCACGCUAUCAGCUGAGCCUAGGUCGGAUUAGCUAGUUGGUGGGGUAAAGGCCUACCAAGGCGACGAUCCGUAACUGGUCUGAGAGGAUGAUCAGUCACACUGGAACUGAGACACGGGCCAGACUCCUACGGGAGGCAGCAGUGGGGAAUAUUGGACAAUGGGCGAAAGCCUGAUCCAGCCAUGCCGCGUGUGUGAAGAAGGUCUUCGGAUUGUAAAGCACUUUAAGUUGGGAGGAAGGGCAGUAAGUUAAUACCUUGCUGUUUUGACGUUACCAACAGAAUAAGCACCGGCUAACUUCGUG
rnacentral:rRNA from 1 species